rnacentral:rRNA from 1 species
GACGAACGCUGGCGGCGUGCUUAACACAUGCAAGUCGAACGGUGAAGCGCCUUCCUUUUUGGCGGGUGUGGAUGAGUGGCGAACGGGUGAGUAACACGUGAGUAACCUGCCCCCUCCUUCUGGAUAACCGCAUGAAAGUGUGGCUAAUACGGGAUAUUCUGGGUCUGUCGCAUGAUGGGUCUGGGAAAGCUAUUGUUUCGGUGGGGGAUGGGCUCGCGGCCUAUCAGCUUGUUGGUGGGGUGAUGGCCUACCAAGGCGGUGACGGGUAGCCGGCCUGAGAGGGUCGACGGUCCUGCUGGUACGGAGACAUGGACAAGACUCCGGCGGGAGGCAGCAGUGGGUAAUAUAGCACGAUGGGCGGAAGGCUGAAGCAGCGACGCCGCGGGAGAGAUGGAGGCCUUCGGGUUGUGAACCUCUUUCGCCGGUGAAGCAGGCCUGCCUCGUUUGUGGGUGUGUUGACGGUAGCUGGAGAAGAAGCGCCGGCUAACUACGUG